GCCGGGAUAGCUCAGUUGGUAGAGCAGGGGACUGAAAAUCCUCCUGUUCACAGUCCAAAAAAAAGUCGGAGC
rnacentral:tRNA from 1 species